rnacentral:rRNA from 1 species
UUAAAUUGAAGAGUUUGAUCAUGGCUCAGAUUGAAUGCUGGCGGCAGGCCUAACACAUGCAAGUCGAACGGUAACAGGAAACAGCUUGCUGUUUCGCUG